rnacentral:rRNA from 1 species
AGAGCGAACGCUGGCGGCAGGCCUAACACAUGCAAGUCGAGCGCCGUAGCAAUACGGAGCGGCAGACGGGAGAGUAACACGUGGGAACGUACCCUUCAGUACGGAACAACCAAGGGAAACUUUGGCUAAUACCGUAUACGUCCGUAAGGAGAAAGAUUUAUCGCUGAAGGAUCGGCCCGCGUCUGAUUAGCUUGUUGGUGAGGUAACGGCUCACCAAGGCGACGAUCAGUAGCUGGUCUGAGAGGAUGAUCAGCCUCACUGGGACUGAGACACGGCCCAGACUCCUACGGGAGGCAGCAGUGGGGAAUAUUGGACAAUGGGCGCAAGCCUGAUCCAGCCAUGCCGCGUGGGUGAUGAAGGCCCUAGGGUUGUAAAGCCCUUUCGGCGGGGAAGAUAAUGACGGUACCCGCAGAAGAAGCCCCGGCUAACGUUCGCGCCAGCAGCCGC